GCUCGCUCGCUCUCUCCUGCUCCACCAUGAUAAGAUGUGCUUGCUUCCCCUUCACUUUCCGACUUGAUCGACCUUCAAGUACAUGCUCCAUUGAACUCUCUGAAUUCAGCUGGCUAAAAAAGAAGAAAGAGAAGAUGGAGAAGGCACAACCAUUCUAAACUGCCUUGACAUGGAGGUGACACCAGUUUUAUUGUAGGAAUAAGUGACAUGAUUGUAUCUAAUUGCAAGGGCCUGGGAAGCACAACUAACCAUGCACCAAAGAAGACAAGAACACAGGCAGCUUGGGUCAUGUGCUACAGCUUUCCUGUGAUCACCUUGCCUCUGAAAUAUCUGAAAAUGGCUUUCUCUUCAUUCAUUUCUACAUCUUCAUUCAUUCUCCCAGGUCUUGCAAUGGUUGUGCACAUAGGUAGAAGAGACUUGCCUUGUCUCAGAUGAGAUUUUGGACGUUUGAAUUAACACUGGAAUGAGUUAAGACUUUCGGGGACUGUCAGGAAGGCAUGAUUGUAUUUUGCAAUGUGAGAAGAAUAUGUAAUUUGAGAGGGACUAGGGACAGAAUGAUAUAGUUUGGAUCUGUAUCCCCACCCAAAUCAUAUGUUGAAUUGUAAUCCCCAAUAUUGGAGGUAGGGCCUGGUGGAAGGUGUUUUGAUCAUGGGAGUGGAUGCCUCAUGGCUUGGUGUUGUCUUUACAAUAGGGAGUUAGUUCUCAUGCGAUCUGGUUGUUUAAAAGUGUGUGGCAUCUGCCCCUCCACCUCUCUCCUUCUUCCUCCUGCUUUCACCAUGUGAUGUGCCUUCUCCCUCUUCACCUUCUGCAGUGAUUGUAAGCUUUAUGAGACAUCCCCAGAAGUUGAGCAGAUGCCAGCACCAUACUGCCUGUAAAGCCUACAGAACUGUGACCCAAUUAAACCUCUUUUCUUUAUAAAUUGCACAUAGGUAGAAGAGACUUGCCUUGUCUCAGAUGAGAUUUUGGACGUUUGAAUUAACACUGGAAUGAGUUAAGACUUUCGGGGACUGUCAGGAAGGCAUGAUUGUAUUUUGCAAUGUGAGAAGAAUAUGUAAUUUGAGAGGGACUAGGGACAGAAUGAUAUAGUUUGGAUCUGUAUCCCCACCCAAAUCAUAUGUUGAAUUGUAAUCCCCAAUAUUGGAGGUAGGGCCUGGUGGAAGGUGUUUUGAUCAUGGGAGUGGAUGCCUCAUGGCUUGGUGUUGUCUUUACAAUAGGGAGUUAGUUCUCAUGCGAUCUGGUUGUUUAAAAGUGUGUGGCAUCUGCCCCUCCACCUCUCUCCUUCUUCCUCCUGCUUUCACCAUGUGAUGUGCCUUCUCCCUCUUCACCUUCUGCAGUGAUUGUAAGCUUUAUGAGACAUCCCCAGAAGUUGAGCAGAUGCCAGCACCAUACUGCCUGUAAAGCCUACAGAACUGUGACCCAAUUAAACCUCUUUUCUUUAUAAAUUA
rnacentral:lncRNA from 1 species